rnacentral:rRNA from 1 species
GAUGGACGCUAGCGGCAGGCCUAACACAUGCAAGUCGAGGGGUAGAAGGAGCUUGCUCCUUUGAGACCGGCGCACGGGUGCGUAACGCGUAUGCAAUCUACCUUGUACAGGGGAAUAGCCCAGAGAAAUUUGGAUUAAUGCCCCAUAGUAUAUAACCUUCGCAUGUUGGUUAUAUUAAAGUUCCAACGGUACAAGAUGAGCAUGCGUCCCAUUAGUUAGUUGGUAAGGUAACGGCUUACCAAGACGAUGAUGGGUAGGGGUCCUGAGAGGGAGAUCCCCCACACUGGUACUGAGACACGGACCAGACUCGUACGGGAGGCAGCAGUGAGGAAUAUUGGUCAAUGGUCGCAAGACUGAACCAGCCAUGCCGCGUGCAGGAAGACGGUCCUAUGGAUUGUAAACUGCUUUUAUACAGGAAGAAACCCUCCCACGUGUGGGAGCUUGACGGUACUGUAGGAAUAAGGAGCGGCUAACUCCGUG